rnacentral:lncRNA from 1 species
CUUCCUUGCCGCCUCUCCCAUCUCAAUGCCUUUCAUCCCUCCUUCUUGAUCUCCAUGCCCCACCCUAGUUCCUCCUCAAGAUAAGGAGCUAAGAGAGGUUUUAGAGAGAGAAGAAAAAGAAAAGAAUAGUUCCUAUUCUUUUUCUUGAUAUAGUGAAAGCUCCCUGAAGUUCUACGCGAAGGGUUUGUGCAACAAUCCUUUUUCUUCCUGUUCAAGAAAAGGGGCCUAGAUCCAAGCUGAGGAACGAAGCCUGCAAGGAAGCUAGC